rnacentral:hammerhead_ribozyme from 1 species
AUCCAGUUGAUGAGUCCCAAAUAGGACGAAACGCGCAUCCUGAAU